rnacentral:rRNA from 1 species
UGGGGAAUAUUGCACAAUGGGGGAAACCCUGAUGCAGCGACGCCGCGUGAGCGAAGAAGGCUUUCGAGUCGCAAAGCUCUGUCCUAUGAGAAGAUAAUGACGGUAUCAUAGGAGGAAGCCCUGGCUAAAUACGUGCCAGCAGCCGCGGUAAUACGUAUGGGGCGAGCGUUGUCCGGAAUUAUUGGGCGUAAAGGGUACGUAGGUGGUUUUUUAAGUCAGGUGUCAAAGCGUGGAGCUUAACUCCAUUAAGCACUUGAAACUGAAAGACUUGAGUGAAGGAGAGGGAAGUGGAAUUCCUAGUGUAGCGGUGAAAUGCGUAGAUAUUAGGAGGAAUACCGGUGGCGAAGGCGACUUUCUGGGCUUUUACUGACGCUCAGGUACGAAAGCGUGGGGAGCAAACAGG